CCUACGGGAGGCAGCAGUGGGGAAUCUUGCGCAAUGGGCGAAAGCCUGACGCAGCAACGCCGCGUGCGGGAAGAAGGCUUUCGGGCUGUAAACCGCUUUCAGCAGGAACGAAAAUGACGGUACCUGCAGAAGAAGGAGCGGCCAACUAUGUGCCAGCAGCCGCGGUGAUACAUAGGCUUCAAGCGUUGUCCGGAUUUAUUGGGCGUAAAGAGUUCGUAGGCGGUCGAGUAAGUCGGGUGUGAAAAUUCUGGGCUCAACCCAGAGACGCCACCCGAUACUGCUUAACUUGAGUUCGAUAGGGGAGUGGGGAAUUCCUAGUGUAGCGGUGAAAUGCGCAGAUAUUAGGAGGAACACCGGUGGCGAAGGCGCCACUCUGGAUCGAUACUGACGCUGAGGAACGAAAGCAUGGGUAGCAAACAGGAUUAGAUACCCUGGUAGUCCAUGCCGUAAACGGUGGGCACUAGGUGUGGGAUUCUAUUAACGAAUUCCGCGCCGUCGCUAACGCAUUAAGUGCCCCGCCUGGGGAGUACGGUCGCGAAGACUAAAACUCAAAUGAAAUUGACGG
rnacentral:rRNA from 1 species